rnacentral:piRNA from 1 species
UGACUAUAUCAGAGAAGAGUG